CCCGGGGCUCAACCUCGGAACCGCAUUUGAAACUGGCAGGCUAGAGUCUUGUAGAGGGGGGUAGAAUUUCAGGUGUAGCGGUGAAAUGCGUAGAGAUCUGAAGGAAUACCAGUGGCGAAGGCGGCCCCCUGGACAAAGACUGACGCUCAGAUGCGAAAGCGUGGGUAGCAAACAGGAUUAGAUACCCUGGUAGUCCACGCCGUAAACGCUGUCUACUUGGAGGUUGAGGUUUAGACUUUGGCUUUCGGCGCUAACGCAUUAAGUAGACCGCCUGGGGAGUACGGCCGCAAGGUUAAAACUCAAAUGAAUUGACGGGGGCCCGCACAAGCGGUGGAGCAUGUGGUUUAAUUCGAUGCAACGCGAAGAACCUUACCUACUCUUGACAUCCAGCGAAGCCUUUAGAGAUAGAGGCGUGCCUUCGGGAGCGCUGAGACAGGUGCUGCAUGGCUGUCGUCAGCUCGUGUUGUGAAAUGUUGGGUUAAGUCCCGCAACGAGCGCAACCCUUAUCCUUGUUUGCCAGCACGUAAUGGUGGGAACUCCAGGGAGACUGCCGGUGAUAAACCGGAGGAAGGUGGGGACGACGUCAAGUCAUCAUGGCCCUUACGAGUAGGGCUACACACGUGCUACAAUGGCAGAUACAGAGGGCAGCGAAGCUGCGAAGUGGAGCGAAUCCCUUAAAGUCUGUCGUAGUCCGAAUUGGAGUCUGCAACUCGACUCCAUGAAGUCGGAAUCGCUAGUAAUCGUGGAUCAGAAUGCCACGGUGAAUACGUUCCCGGGCCUUGCACACACCGCCCG
rnacentral:rRNA from 1 species